GCUGAACUAGACGAAUGAGAAAGGGGGAUGAGAGAGAGGGAGAGAGAGAGAGUGAAAGGGCCCGAGAGACAGAGUAUUGGUGGUGGUGGAGUUAAAAGACUACAAUUGACCAGUUCUUAAAGGGACAAACUCCAUGCUGGUCUGGGGAUGUCAGUUCAGGUCACAUGAUGCAGGGAUGUACUUAAUUGACUGUGGGGAACCCGAACCGUUGCUGAAUGGAGGGGUGACGUUCAUAUCUAGCUCUCAGAACCAGCAUCUCUCAGUCAUUUAGUACCACUGCAAUGAGCUGUACUACACUCUCUCUAAAAGAGUUAAUGGACCCGAGUCCUGGGACCAUGCCUCAGAACUACCUGGCCUG